rnacentral:lncRNA from 1 species
CCAAACUGUCGAAAGCACCGCUGGAAAUAUGAAUCAACUAGGAUUCGAACUUGAGUCUCGGGUACCAACCACUAAGCCCUUUGCCACUUGCACUAGGAAUGGUCGGUUAACUUCUUUCUUCUUUAUACUUUCAAAAGCAUAAUAGCUCUACUCUGUAUAGUUGACAUUCAUGAUUAUUUUAAAUUUAUAUUCUCGCUAACUCCUAAUUGAUUUUGAAUUUAAAUUUUUAUAUUUCAAAAUUUUAAGUUUCAGAUUUUAAAUUUUAAAAUGUCAAAAAUAUGAAUUUAGAUUUCAAAGUUAAAAUUUUAUAUUUAAAUUUUAAAAUUAUAAAUUUAAUUAGUUUCAAAUUUUAAAUUUUAAUCGUUAGAUAUCGUGCGGAAUUGUUCGAUGUGUAUCCAAAUAGCUUAAAAGAAUGAAGCGGUGGAAUUUCUAACAGUUACAGAAUUUUCUGUUUUGUUUAAAUUAAAUUUACAUAAUACUAGUUAAGGGACCCACGCGAUGCUGUGGCUAGUUAUUUUAAAUUUUAAUUUUAAAAAUUAAUUUCAGAAUAAUUAUGGAAUAUUACGGACAAAUUACGAAAUAAUUUUAAAUGGUGCAAUAAGUAUAUAUAUAUGCAUGGCUAAGGAU